AUUGAACGCUGGCGGCAUGCCUAACACAUGCAAGUCGAACGGAGCGGCGGACGGGUGAUUAAUGCCUAGGAACCUGCCUAGUAGUGGGGGAUAACGACCGGAAAUGGGCGCUAAUACCGCAUACUAUCAGAUCGGCCUAUAUCGGAUUCGCUAGUUGGUGGGGUAAAGGCCUACCAAGGAGACGAUCCGUACCUGGUCUGAGAGGAGGACCAGACACACUGGAACUGAGACAAGGUACAGACUCCUACGGUAGGCAGCAGUGGGGAAUAUUGGAAAAUGGGCGCAAGCCAGAUGCAGCCAUGCCGCGUGAGAGAUGAAGGUCUUCGGAUUGUAAAGCACUUUAAGUUGGGAAGCGGUACCUGCAGAAUAAGCACCGGCUAACUACGUGCCAGCCGCCGCGGUAAUUC
rnacentral:rRNA from 1 species